GGAAAGGUGGCCGAGUGGUUAUGGCGAAUGACUCAAGUUCAUUUGGAGAGAUCCGCGUGGGUUCGAAUCCCACCCUUUUCA
rnacentral:tRNA from 2 species